UACGGAGGGCGCAAGCGUUGUUCGGAAUUACUGGGCGUAAAGCGCGUGUAGGCGGUUCAGCAAGUCGGUUGUGAAAGCCCCGGGCUCGACUCGGGAAUUGCGUCCGAAACUGCUGAACUGGAGUCCCGGAGAGGAAGGCAGAAUUCCCAAUGUAGGGGUGAAAUACGUAGAUAUUGGGAGGAAUACCAGUGGCGAAGGCGGCCUUAUGGACGGUGUCUGACGCUGAGACGCGAACGCGUGGGGAGCAAACAGG
rnacentral:rRNA from 1 species